rnacentral:tRNA from 1 species
GCUUUUAAAGGAUAACAGCUCAUCCGUUGGUCUUAGGAACCAAAAACCCUUGGUGCAAAUCCAAGUGAAAGCU